GAUAACCUCAAUAAGAGCAUUUUGGGGGAGUGAUGGGGCAAAACUUGAAUCACGUUGAGAUGUGAGGGGGAGGUGAAUUCGUCACUGAGAGUCCUUUGAGGAGUCCGGAAGGAAGACUUGGAGAUGUGAAGGACAAGAGUGGGGACAUUGAGCACAGGGAAGACAGAAGCAAGUUCAUAGGCUGAUACCCACUUCCAACUGCGAUAAGUGUUGUUUAGUGACAAAGCUGAUUCAUUCCACAUAUUCUGGUUUACCACCUGUUUGUGCCUGGCAGUGUGCCCAGCAUUGUGAAUUCUGUGGUGAAUGAAUUGAAAUAGGCAGAUUUCUGUUCUCGUGGCACUUAUAUGAUAGUAGGGGAGAAAGAUGUGAAUCACAUAGUCACACACACGAAUGUGUAAUUUCCAACGUUGACAGCACACACUGAAAGAAAGGUAGCAAGUGCUGGAGGAUGUACAACAAGGGCCCCUGCCCCAGGCCAACUCCAGAGGCUUCCCUGUGGCGGUGACACUUGAACCAAGUUGUUGAGGGGACAGAAUUCAUAGAACAGAGCAAAUUCGAGAAGAGCCUUCUGGCCAGAGGGAACCGCCCGCCUGUGCAAAGGGAGGUACAUUGAGACCAGAGAGGCAGGCAGGGCUGGGCAGGUAGAGCUCUGGAGGCCAGGACUGAGCUGUGUACAUCCUGAGAGUGAGGGAAGCGUGCUUGAGACCUGCCUGAAUAUCUCCUGUGAUCUGAGACUGGCUGGUCCCUGGAGAAGUCAUUAGAGGAAGCACAGGUGGGCUUAGGGAGAAAGUUGGGAAGUUUCUGUUGCCAUGGUGGACAGGAUUUGGACAACACAUUCCGGUCAGUCUCGGUGCUGGAUGGGAUGAAGAGGGGUAAGGAGAGGAGGAGGUGUUCCAGAAGACCCCUGAGUUCAGGGCUUGCCUUACUGGAGGUGUGGCAGUGCUUUUCUCAGAAUGGGGAGCCCUACAAAGAAAUGAGGUUGUGAGGCAGACCCCCGAGUCUGGUGCUAGACGGCUGAGACAUGUAAGCCGGGAGCUGGGGAGGAGGUAGUUGAAUGCAUGGACCUGGAACCCAGAGUGAGAAAUCACAGAGACCGUUUCAGUACUCCUGUGGGAUCCUGAGUGAAACUGAACUGAAGUUGUAUCAGGUUUCUGGAGCAUAUGCUGAGGGGAUGAGGGAGGCUGAGGAAGAAGAGGCCAAGCACCAACAUUUGGGGCCUGUAAAAAAGAAAGAAAGGUCCUCCUGGGGCACAGAAAAGAAAGGACAAGAGAGGUCUUUCAACAGAAAGAUGGAGUGGUCAGCAGUGGCUAUGUGCAGAAAGGUCAGAGGUCAAGGGCAAAUCCAGGAGCUCUUCUGAGGUGCAACUGCCCAAUAGCCAUGGCAUCCCUGGAAUUGGGCAGUGUAGGGACACUACAAUCGUCCCUGCCGAUUGGUACCCCCCAGGGCCCAUGGGAGACCUCAGGGGACCGUAGCAGAGGCAGCCUGUAUAGGGGGUGAUUAAGGAAAGAAGAAGUGAGGGAGCAAAGUCUAAGGCCUUUAAAUUAAAUUUUAGUCUUCAAGGAAAGAGCAGUGCUCGCAUACAGAUAUUCUGAGGGAAGGGAGCCUGAGUAAUGGAGUGAUUAAGGAUGGAGACAAUUAGUGAGAUGAGUUCCCACAGGGGUUGGGUUCAAGUGUGGUGGUGUAUAAAUUAGUUUGGGGCAAUAAUGUAUAUUUGACUGGAUGGGGCAAAAUUUAAUUAUUUACCUUUUAGAGAGUAACUUGAUCUCCAUGUUCUUUUGGGAGCUUUUAUCUGACCUGUGUACCAAAUACGGCUCUAAUUAGCACAAUUUUUAUCCUGUCUCAGGGCUGGAAUCAUGUCUUAUUUUUUGUGUUUCUCAGCACCUAGCAAUAGGCAGUAAGGUCUUUGGGUGCCGAAUCAAUAUUAUCUGCCUUGGAAUGAAAAAUCUGAAGUCAACAUUCAAACUUUUUAACCAAAAAGAAUCUGUGAUAAUUCUCCAGAAGUACAAUGUGGGAAAGAAUUGGUAUAAAGUCCUGGUGGCAGGAGUUUGGGGUAGUGGGGGGGUGGAGAGAAAGUACAAGAGUGAGCUCUCUUCAUUCUUAUAUGUUCUGUCCCAUUUAUGCAUUUCACCAUCAUCUCAUAUGAACUUGACCUUCCCCUGUAGGAAGGAGAGCAUCAUCUCCCAUCAUAGAGGAGGGAACAGAAACCAGAGAAGGGGAGCUUCCCCUAACGGUCCAGUGUUCGAGAAUCUAUCUCCCAAUGCAGGGGAUGUGGGUUCAAUACCUGGUAGGGGAACUAAGAUCCCACAUGCCUCCAGGCAAGUAAGCUUACACACCGCAUUGAAGACCUAGCAUAGUGCCCCACCCUCCACCCCCCAAAAAAAACAGAGAAGGAAGCGCCUUGCUGACAUCAAGCACAAAUAACAGGAGCUGGAUUCAACCUCAGUCCAUCGAGGAUCACAGUCCUUCUUUCCAGGAUCAGGUUGAGCUGAGAGAAAGAGGAAGAGGAGCCUGUGAGGUUCAGGUGGAGACGCUCCACUUGGACAUGUGCAGAAGGUUGGAGACACACUCUGACAGGAGACCGGAUAUUAAAGCAUCAUAUUAAACUCCAGUGAUAACAUCUGCAAUGCUAGCACCAGAGCAGCUGAUUAUUACAACAUGACGGAUUGCCUAGUUCAUUCUCUCCACUGAACUGAGAUGAAACUCCCUCACACACUGAAUCGCCAUGUCUAGGUGCUGUUGGGUGAAAACAUGAUGCUUGGAGCUCUGACAGCCAUCUUGUGACCAGGAGGGAAAGGCCAGGAGAUGCAACUCUGUGCUGACUCCAGCUUGAACACCUGGCACCACUGAUUUCUGGACUUGCUUUGAAAUAAAUAAAAUGUU